UACCCUACGGGGGGCAGCAGUGAGGAAUAUUGGUCAAUGGGCGCGAGCCUGAACCAGCCAAGUCGCGUGAGGGAUGACGGUCCUACGGAUUGUAAACCUCUUUUGCCGGGGAGCAAGCGUGCGUUCGUGAACGCGCGUCGAGAGUACCCGGAGAAAAAGCAUCGGCUAACUCCGUGCCAGCAGCCGCGGUAAUACGGAGGAUGCGAGCGUUAUCCGGAUUUAUUGGGUUUAAAGGGUGCGUAGGCGGACUGCCAAGUCAGCGGUAAAAUUGCGGGGCUCAACCCCGUCGAGCCGUUGAAACUGGG
rnacentral:rRNA from 1 species